UACAGAGGUCUCAAGCGUUGUUCGGAUUCAUUGGGCGUAAAGGGUGCGUAGGCGGCGCGGUAAGUCGGGUGUGAAAUCUUGGAGCUUAACUCCGAAACUGCAGUCGAUACUGCCGUGCUUGAGGACUGGAGAGGAGACUGGAAUUUACGGUGUAGCGGUGAAAUGCGUAGAUAUCGUAAGGAAGACCAGUGGCGAAGGCGGGUCUCUGGACAGUUCCUGACGCUGAGGCACGAAGGCCAGGGGAGCGAACGGG
rnacentral:rRNA from 1 species